UGAGUGGAAGAGAGAGGACCACUUGUUACUAGGCAACCAGUACUUGCCUCACCCAUGUUGCCAUGGUGAUGAUGAAAGUUGGGCUGAUGGGAUUACCAGCUCCUGCUAAUUGCACAUGAGCACUCAAGGGGCUGUGGGGUCACCUUCUCCUCUCUCCUGCCACCCCAAGGCAUCUGCAUUGUGUGUUAUGCAAUGAGAGAGCACCUUGGCCUGGACCUCAAGCAACCCACGUCCUAGUUCUGCCUCUGUAAUGUCCUAGAGCAGUGGCCUCAGAUCACUCCCUGGUGCCACAGCAGCUGAGUGUGCCUCGAAUCUGAAGAAACUCUACACUGUGCAAACAGUACAGAUAUUCUGGAGUGUGUACAAUAACAUCCCUCCUGUGACCAGCCUGCCUUUGAGAUGUAGUUAUCACUUAAUGAGAGGAGAGAGGCGACCACUUUGGGAGGAGGAGAGUAAUGCAAAGGGUGGCGUGUGGAAGAUGAAAGUUCCCAAGGACAGCACGUCCACAGUUUGGAAAGAGUUGUUGUUAGCGACCAUUGGGGAGCAGUUCACAGACUCUGUGGCAGCAGAUGACGAAGUGAUAGGGGUCAGUGUGAGUGUUCGGGACCGAGAGGACGUCAUCCAGGUCUGGAAUGUCAACGCCUCCUUAGUGGGCAAAGCUACUGUGCUUGAGAAGAUCCAUGAACUCCUGCCCCACGUAUCUUUUAAAGCCGUGUUUUAUAAACCCCAUGAAGAGCAUCAUGCUUUUGAAGGUGGACGUGGAAAACACUAAUUGCACUCUGUAAAGAAUUCUUUAUCCUUUGCUGAUUGGUUUUGGAAACGGUCUUAACAGGAGGGAGAGUGAAGAGAAGACUUGCCGAAGCCCGAUGCUGGUCCAUUUAGAAAGCCCAUGAUUUGUCCAGAGAGGAAACCUGCUAUUUCUGAUUUACAGAGGAGGCCAUGUUUAUUGCUUGUGUGGAAUGGAGAUUCUUCCUCAGUUCCCGAAGGUUUCCCCACUUCCCACGUCAAUUCUCAGUCCUGUGUUAAGUGAUCCAGCCCCUGUCAUACGUCCGUCCUGUCUGAAAAUCAAUGGCCCUCCAGCAGGGGUUGUCUUUUCCCUUCAUUUAUACAUUGUUGCAGGAAGCACCCAGGCACUCACACAGUUGAGCUUGAGUGCAUCUAUCGUUCCUAUAACUGUGUUGUUAGAUAUUGGAUUAUACUACCAAAGAAAUAUUGGUUUCAGUAGAAGAAAACCUUUCAGAGUGUUACAACUUCUCCCAGAUGCUCCUGUCUCCCUCUCAACUGUGUCCACUUCCUGGUUAUUUUCCCUGUGAAAGGGCCUCCCUCCUCUUGGCCUGGAUAUAGAGCUGUGGGACCAGUGAAGCUUCUAUAUUUCUCAAAAGGAUGACUUUUUAAUUCCCUUGCACUGUUGGCCAGUGGAGAGAUGGGGCUACUCUAAUCCUCCCACAUGUAUUUGUAAAUAAAAUUCCCCAUUCAGAAUUUUUAAAUGGCUCUCAGUAGCACCUGUUUAUAAAAGUUGUGGCCUCCACUUGCACUGCUAAACACUCAGCAAACAAUAAUUAGCUGUCAAUGAUUAGGAGAUGCUUCCUCUCUGAACUGACGUCCCUCAACAGUUCCACUCAUCAGGGGAUUGGAUACUUCUAGAAAAAUCCUAGGAUGUGUUUGUCUAUAUGACGUGUUCUUCUCUGAACAGUUUCUAAACCUGUUUUAAAAGUAUAACUCAAGAAUUUAAAACUUAUUCUGAACAAGAGUUGAAAUUCCUUUUUAUAAUAUAAGUAUUUUUCUGAUAGAUUAGCAAAAAGGACUAAUUGACUUCCUUAUUAUAAUUGUCAUAUAUAUAUUUCCAUAAGUAAAUAAAUUUUGAGGAAUUUUUUAUUUUUGAACUUA